UACGUACUCCCUUCGUUCGGAAUUACUCGUCCAAGAAAUGAAUGUAUCUAGAUGUAUUUUAGUUGUAGAUACAUUCUUUUUGUGACAAGUAAUUUCGAACGGAGGGAGUAGAAU
rfam:Triticum aestivum genome assembly, contig: Triticum_aestivum_CS42_TGACv1_scaffold_362975_4DS